AGUGAACGCUGGCGGUAGGCCUAACACAUGCAAGUCGAACGGCAGCACAGUAAGAGCUUGCUCUUACGGGUGGCGAGUGGCGGACGGGUGAGGAAUACAUCGGAAUCUACUUUUUCGUGGGGGAUAACGUAGGGAAACUUACGCUAAUACCGCAUACGACCUACGGGUGAAAGCAGGGGAUCUUCGGACCUUGCGCGACUGAAUGAGCCGAUGUCGGAUUAGCUAGUUGGCGGGGUAAAGGCCCACCAAGGCGACGAUCCGUAGCUGGUCUGAGAGGAUGAAUAAGCACACCUGAACCUGAAAAACGGCCCAGCCCCCUAGGGAAGGCAGAGGUGGGAAAAUUGGGAAAAGGGGGGAAAGCCUGAUCAAGCAUACCGCGUGGGUGAAGAAGGCCUUCGGGUUGUAAAGCCCUUUUGUUGGGAAAGAAAAGCAGCAGGUUAAUACCCCGCUGUUCUGACGGUACCCAAAGAAUAAGCACCGGCUAACUUCGUG
rnacentral:rRNA from 1 species